CACGUAGGGCGCAAGCGUUGUCCGGAAUUAUUGGGCGUAAAGAGCUCGUAGGCGGUCUGGCGCGUCGGCUGUGAAAACUCGGGGCUCAACCCCGAGCCUGCAGUCGAUACGGGCAGACUAGAGUGCUGGAGGGGAGACUGGAAUUCCUGGUGUAGCGGUGAAAUGCGUAGAUAUCAGGAGGAACACCGGUGGCGAAAGCGGGUCGCUGGGCAGUAACUGACGCUGAGGAGCGAAAGCGUGGGGAGCAAACAGG
rnacentral:rRNA from 1 species